UACGGAGGGUGCAAGCGUUAUCCGGAUUCACUGGGUUUAAAGGGUGCGUAGGAGGGCAGGUAAGUCAGUGGUGAAAUCUCCAAGCUUAACUUGGAAACUGCCAUUGAUACUAUCUGUCUUGAAUACCGUGGAGGUGAGCGGAAUAUGUCAUGUAGCGGUGAAAUGCUUAGAUAUGACAUAGAACACCAAUUGCGAAGGCAGCUCACUAACACGAAUAUUGACACUGAGGCACG
rnacentral:rRNA from 1 species